rnacentral:lncRNA from 1 species
AUGCUCUUCUUUCCCGUGCCGCUUGCAAAGGCGCUGUCUGUGCGUGCGUGUGUGUCCCCGCGUGUGCGUGUCCCGGCGUGUUUGUCCCCGCGUGUCCCCGCGUGUGCGCCGUGCCCGCACGCCGGCGCAGCAUGUGUGGCCCUGCAACGUGCGGGGUGUGCGGCGUGUGCGGGGAGCGCGGCGGCCCCGGCCCCACGUGCGGGGCGGGGGGAGCGGACACCCCCCACACCACCACCCCCUCUCAGAGCCGGGCUGGCGGGUUUCUCUCCGGUAUUCCCGGCGGGAACCGCAGGCGGGAAGUGUCAGCUGAGGCGAUCCAUAGCGAUGUGUUUAUCUCCGCUGCCAGCGCUGACCGCUCGCUUUUCAUUUGGUUCAGUUUUGCUCCCUCCCUUCCUCGGGCUCCGGCUCCUGGAGGUGCGUGACCUCCAAACCCGGGCUCCCACAGAAUCCAGCGGCUUGGGGAGGCGGGGAAUUACCCCAAUAAACACCAAACACGCCCCCGCCUGCCAAAACAGAGACGGGAACCUCACAUCAUUCCUGUCUAACGAUGGUGCUGUACAGACUCUUCCAGUCAAGUGGCUUGCUCCUCAGAACUGCCUCAAGUGAUAACACCCAGCAUAUUCCAGUCCUUUGGGAAGCCCCAGGAGAAGCAAAGCACUUCCUCACCAUUUUGAUGAAAACCUAAGGAUUUUUUUAUGCCUUUUUAUGGACUUCUGGGAGAAGAAGAAAGAGUUUUGGGUCAUGCAUAGAAGCACGUGUUCCUUUUUUUUUUUUUUAAUUAAAUGGAAAUUUGGGAUAUUUUACAGUCUUAGUAAAAACAGCGUGAGAGUCUUUAAAAGGAUAAACCUAGAGCAACACUGUUGGACUGGCUGUAUAAGGCCAUACGGUACUGACCUGGAUAUUUAUGGUGGUUACCCACUAUCGUGGGGUCCCA